CAUCACCAGUUAUUCACUCUUCUCUUUCUAAUUUAUUUGUUACAGAAGUUUAUGCCAAAUUUGGCAAGUUUGUUUUCGCAUGUACUUGUUGACGUCAGCAGCGUAAAGGCACUGUGUUUUCGUUGGUAUCCAAGAGACAACAGGAAGGCUCCUAAAAAGCAAAACAAGCACAGAGCUAUGGAUGACAUUAAGGAGAGCAUAGCUGAACUCAAAUACUUCAAGGAGCACAUAUUCAAAGCCUCCAAGUCUAAAAAGUGACAGUGAAUGAAACUCUGAUCUCAUAAUUAUGAUUCCUAAGAUGUGGUGUUACCUGCCAGUGGAAAGUGAUUCUUGGAUUUUAGAUGUAAAAAGGUCUUUGGUCUAAAUUAUGAACUCAGCCAUGUUUGACAAACUGAUUUUAUACUAUCACAUUAUUGGCUAUCAUAUUGAGUUCCAACUUAGAGCUCCACGAUUGUGUCCCUAUUUGGCAUUGUUGUUAACUUUAAGCGCACUUGACCUACUAU